UAGUAUAUUUAUUACGACUUUCUUCAUUUCUCUUAUUACACUCCAAACUAUUGGCAGAAGGACUCGGUCGAAAAGAGUUUUAUCUAUUCUUCGAUAAAAGAUGGCCGUGAAACCAACAGUAGCAUUGAGGGCUUUCCUUGUUGGAGGGAUAGCUGUUUUUGCUAAAGUAGCAGGGGCAAUGAAGGCUGCGGUGGUGCUAAGCUGGGUGCUGCUGCAGCUGCCAUGACUGUGGCUGCAUCAGCUGCUAAGACAGGGGACCCAAGAGAUGGAUCUAAGCAACCUCCAAAAUGAUAUGCCUUCUCUCCUCUUUCUUUCUGCGGCUUGUAGACGUUUGUAUUUUAGGUAGCAUACUUGGCUGCUCACAGGGAAGCUUGUCGAGAGCAGAUGGCUAUGCUUGGCGUUCCGUUUUUAGUCAUUACUGAGUUUUCUUUUGAAAUCACUUGAAAUAAGAAAAACCAACGUUUUGUAUUUGAAUUAAGCAGAAGAUGGUAUGUUGCUAUUCAAGUACAAACGUGAAUGUUUCUCUUACAUUCUAAAGCAUAAAGUACAGCUGUUUCAUUUG